rnacentral:tRNA from 1 species
GGGUGCAUAGCGCAGUGGUAGCGCGCAUGCUUUGCAACCGCUGGAAAACUACCAGCGAAUGUGUAUGAGGUCCAGGGUUCAAUCCCCUGUGCAUCCA